CCAAGGCGACGAUGCGUAGCCGACCUGAGAGGGUGAUCGGCCACACUGGGACUGAGACACGGCCCAGACUCCUACGGGAGGCAGCAGUAGGGAAUCUUCCGCAAUGGACGAAAGUCUGACGGAGCAACGCCGCGUGAGUGAUGAAGGUUUUCGGAUCGUAAAACUCUGUUGUUAGGGAAGAACAAGUACCGUUCGAAUAGGGCGGYACCUUGACGGUACCUAACCAGAAAGCCACGGCUAACUACGUGCCAGCAGCCGCGGUAAUACGUAGGUGGCAAGCGUUGUCCGGAAUUAUUGGGCGUAAAGCGCGCGCAGGCGGUUUCUUAAGUCUGAUGUGAAAGCCCCCGGCUCAACCGGGGAGGGUCAUUGGAAACUGGGGAACUUGAGUGCAGAAGAGGAGAGUGGAAUUCCACGUGUAGCGGUGAAAUGCGUAGAGAUGUGGAGGAACACCAGUGGCGAAGGCGACUCUCUGGUCUGUAACUGACGCUGAGGCGCGAAAGCGUGGGGAGCGAACAGGAUUAGAUACCCUGGUAGUCCACGCCGUAAACGAUGAGUGCUAAGUGUUAGAGGGUUUCCGCCCUUUAGUG
rnacentral:rRNA from 1 species